GCCCGGGUGGCUCAGCCAGUUGAGCAUCUGACUUUGGCUCAGGUCAUGAUCUCACCGUCUGUGGGUUCGAGCCCCGCUUUGGGCU
rnacentral:tRNA from 1 species